UAAGUAGGCUGUAAACUCGUGUUGCUGGCUGAUGAUGUCCUACUCGGACGUCUGCAGCGGGGGCUGCUGGCCAUUGAUAGGGAAAAGG